rnacentral:rRNA from 1 species
GAGUUAUCUGAACCUUCGGGGAACGAUAACGGCGUCGAGCGGCGGACGGGUGAGUAAUGCCUAGGAAAUUGCCCUGAUGUGGGGGAUAACCAUUGGAAACGAUGGCUAAUACCGCAUGAUGCCUACGGGCCAAAGAGGGGGACCUUCGGGCCUCUCGCGUCAGGAUAUGCCUAGGUGGGAUUAGCUAGUUGGUGAGGUAAGGGCUCACCAAGGCGACGAUCCCUAGCUGGUCUGAGAGGAUGAUCAGCCACACUGGAACUGAGACACGGUCCAGACUCCUACGGGAGGCAGCAGUGGGGAAUAUUGCACAAUGGGCGCAAGCCUGAUGCAGCCAUGCCGCGUGUGUGAAGAAGGCCUUCGGGUUGUAAAGCACUUUCAGUCGUGAGGAAGGUGGUGUAGUUAAUAGCUGCAUUAUUUGACGUUAGCGACAGAAGAAGCACCGGCUAACUCCGUGCCAGCAGCCGCGGUAAUACGGAGGGUGCGAGCGUUAAUCGGAAUUACUGGGCGUAAAGCGCAUGCAGGUGGUUUGUUAAGUCAGAUGUGAAAGCCCGGGGCUCAACCUCGGAAUAGCAUUUGAAACUGGCAGACUAGAGUACUGUAGAGGGGGGUAGAAUUUCAGGUGUAGCGGUGAAAUGCGUAGAGAUCUGAAGGAAUACCGGUGGCGAAGGCGGCCCCCUGGACAGAUACUGACACUCAGAUGCGAAAGCGUGGGGAGCAAACAGGAUUAGAUACCCUGGUAGUCCACGCCGUAAACGAUGUCUACUUGGAGGUUGUGGCCUUGAGCCGUGGCUUUCGGAGCUAACGCGUUAAGUAGACCGCCUGGGGAGUACGGUCGCAAGAUUAAAACUCAAAUGAAUUGACGGGGGCCCGCACAAGCGGUGGAGCAUGUGGUUUAAUUCGAUGCAACGCGAAGAACCUUACCUACUCUUGACAUCCAGAGAACUUUCCAGAGAUGGAUUG